rnacentral:rRNA from 1 species
GACGAACGCUGGCGGCGUGCUUAACACAUGCAAGUCGAACGGAAAGGCCCUGCUUUUGUGGGGUGCUCGAGUGGCGAACGGGUGAGUAGCACGUGAGUAACCUGCCCUUGACUUUGGGAUAACUUCAGGAAACUGGGGCUAAUACCGGAUAGGAGCUCCUGCUGCAUGGUGGGGGUUGGAAAGUUUCGGCGGUUGGGGAUGGACUCGCGGCUUAUCAGCUUGUUGGUGGGGUAGUGGCUUACCAAGGCUUUGACGGGUAGCCGGCCUGAGAGGGUGACCGGCCACAUUGGGACUGAGAUACGGCCCAGACUCCUACGGGAGGCAGCAGUGGGGAAAAUUGCACAAUGGGCGGAAGCCUGAUGCAGCAACGCCGCGUGCGGGAUGACGGCCUUCGGGUUGUAAACCGCUUUCGCCUGUGACGAAGCGUGAGUGACGGUAAUGGGUAAAGAAGCACCGGCUAACUACGUG